GCGCCGCGCGCCUGUCCCGCCCCCGCCGCGCGGAGUAUUUAGGGAGAUCCCGCCAUAGGAGGUGCCUCUUCCACGCGGCCCGCGGCACCCGGGGAGGGGAGUGGAGCCGAGCGGCACCGGAGCGACCGCGUCUGCCCGCCCGGGACUCAGCGUGGGCGGAAGGCGGAUGGACGCGGCGGGACCUGGCCCGCGUUUGCGGUGGCCGUGUCCCCCGGGAGCGCCCUUCCACGGGGAUCCCGUGAUGGCGAGGGGUGCCCGGGGGCGGGGGUUGCCCGUGUGCGGCAGCUCUGUGGCCUGUGAGCUGUUCCUCUGUGCCUCGGCCUCCGGCGUGGGAGCGGCAGCCUGGGAAGCCGAGUCUGGUGAAUACAGAUUGAAAGAGGGCAGCAAGUGAAGUUCAACAUGAGUUUGUUACUGGCUUUGGGAAUCUUCAGUCUGGACUCUGCCACGCUGUUGCCUUGCAAGCAGAAAGAUGUCACGUGAAUUCUAGAGCUACAGAAGUAAAAAUUUUGUACUGUACUUAAAGGUGACAUCAGAUGACCAUCUCCACUGUCUCCCAACCUUGUGUAUGCACUCAGAGCCAACAGUAGACUGCUAGUCUUCCCAUUUUUGCUUGAAAGAUCAUGGGAGAGACUGUGGAGAGCUUGAAAAGAGCAGCCUGAAAUGUGGAGUCCUAAUGCACUUGGAAAUGCUUCCAUGGGCCUUCCUGCUUCUCAGAAAUACCGCUUGAUUCAAUAAUAUUGCAGAGAAGUACCUGUUUGCUGAAUAUGUCUGAAUAAUCCUGGAAUGAAGUUGAGGUGAGAGUGUCACUCUGGAAAGGGAACUGACCUUAGAACUUGGUAUGAAUAUUUGAGUGUAUCAAAUAAAUGGAUUAAAAGUGAAUACAGCAAGAGUUAAAACAUGUAGGAAAACUCAUUACCUUGGCUAGUUUACAAUGUUAGUAGUGGUUGUGAAUAAAAUCUUGGAUUUCUGUUUUCAGUGACUGUUUUUUGUUGAGGGUAUGGGAACAGUAGCACUGUGAUACCGGUGGAUGACAUUCUGUAUAGGAGUCACACAAGCCUUAAAUAUUCAGCUUGUCCAGAUUGACAGGAGGUCUGUACAGUUUUACUGCUGCUUUUUUAUUUAACAUAUAUCUCUUGGAUGUAAAACUUGCUGAGGAUUGUCUAGUGCUAUAUCCUUUCUAGGAAGAUGAAAUACAGAAAAGCCCAUAGUUGGGGAAGCAUACUGUACCUCAGACACCUCAUCUUUUACCACACCAUUCUUCACACUUGUUUUUGCAGUGAAGUAGAGGUGAACUCAUUGAGCUACCUGCCUACCGGGUUGUCUGAUAUUACCUUUCACUCUCCUGUGGCAUUCUGCUAUCCCCUGCAGCCUGCAUAAAAUGAUGUGGAAACGUGUGUGGGUGUUUUGUUUUGGUUUGGUUUUUAUUGCAGGACCACACUGGCAUCCUCGUCUAAUACUAUGUUGCUGUAAUGUAAAAAAAGACACAAAACACGAAACAGUAUGGUGACGCUUUUAUACAUUUCAAAAUUUAUACAGCGUGAGUAAUGAAAGUUGGCUUAAACUAGGAAAAGUUUUAAUGUACUUAAAACUACUUAACCCCUCUAGGUGAUACACUUGAAAAGAAGCAACAAGAAAAACUGCAGUGAAUUCACGUAGUUGAAAGGCGCAACAUUAGAUUCUGAAGUUGGGGUUUAAAUUUUAGUUGUCUUACUAAAAACCCUGCUUAGUCCUCAUUUAACAGUGAAUGAACAUUUGUAGCCAGGAAGAGAGGUUCUGAUUGUGGCUAUAUUCUGGGGCCAUGGCCUCCCAGGAUGAAGGCAUCCCUCCUGCCUUCCAAGAACACUGUCAAAAAACUAGCAAUUCAAAUCCUGUUGGAUAUGCUUUAUUCCUUAUAAAACAGCACUGAACUGUCUUAGACAGCUGGUAAGUUUUUUAUAUUUUUGUAUUUCUAUCUCAAUAAAAUAGUCUCUCAAAAAGCCAAAGCUUCAGGCUUUACUCCACAGAGAGGAGUUUUUACUCUUCAUUAGCGUUGAUGUGAAUUCCUGGACCAUAUGCCGCAAUAAACUUCAGGAGUUCAUGGUGACACUGCAUGAGGUAAAUAUCUCUCUGUUGCAGGGAAUUUUCAUCACUGAGGUCAAAUGGAAAUACAGAAUUUGGUGCUACACAUAAUGCAGAUGUGCCUAAGCAAAGAAGAAAUCAAGACUUAGGCUGAAAGACUUGAUAAAUUUGAGCCAGUACUUUGAGAUGAAAAAAGUGUGACACAGAUUAUAUAGUAAUGCAAUCUUCUGUGUUACCAUUUUUAACUGUUACAUCAUGAUUCUAACCUUGUUUCUAAAGCUGUGUGUGAACAACUGUGACUGUGAUGCUUGAUAAACAAACUAAAAAAUCCCAACCCUUGUUUUCAGCUUCUCCAAGAAGGGAAAUCUAUUCUUUAGCCUGACCAGUGUUAGAGGAGCAGCACCUCAAAUAAACCAGCAUGAAGGACAGACUUGGUGCUGGCCUGUGGCCUAAUUAUGUAGAGCGCUGAGGCUCAGCAGGGAAGCCAAUUGACAGACUUUUCCAAUACCAACUUCAACAGUGGAAACUCUGGAUUUUGAUUUGAAAUGACCUAUUACUUCAAUCAAUUGAUACAAACGUUUUUCAAACUAACAAACAGUCUUUAGGUUAUUCAUGAGUUGCAUUAUUUACCGUGUUUUAGGGUAAGAGAUGACUCAAGUAACAAGAUGGCAAUCAAAGCAUCUUCCUGAAGUACUGUGUGUCUUAAACUUAGCUUGGUAUGAGCCUUAGACAGUGAAAUCCUAAGAGAUCAAUAUAAACAUGUCAGAAAUAAAAAAUACUGCAGAAGUGAAUGCAAUGUGUAUUGCCCUGUUUCAAGCACUUGUGUAAAUCAAAAGUUAACACUGAAGUGUUUUCAUACUUCAGCUGUGCAGUUAUACUUACCACUGACAAAAUACACAUUAUGCUAUGAAAGCAGUAGAAGUUGGCAUAUUAUCUAUUGUUAAUACUUGUUUUGCUCCCAUAAUAAAGCUGUGGAUAUUUAAAUCCCAUUUUUGUCUUUCUAGAUAGCUUCAAUAAUAAUACUUGUUUUGUAAAUCACUGUUAUAUAUUUUGCUUGGAAAAGUUCUUUGAACUUGGAUUUCUUUGGGCAUUCAUAAGCGAUAAAUAAGAUCCUUUAUGCUUGACCUUUUCAAAACAUAAGAGUCUUAUCUAGAUUUUUAUUAAUCAAGCUCUUGACCAGAUUAGCACAAUUUCUCUUUGAAACACAGGUGUGUUUCCCUUACUGUGAAAAGUAGGACUCACAGAAUUUUUAGUGCAGAUGCUGAUAAUGUUGAUCCAUGAACGGAAUCUCUUCUCACCCUGCGACUUGCAAGAUAGUAGCCUUGAAUGAGGUUCUCUGCUUCUGAACUCAGUUCAACAUGAAGAUUCUUAGCAAACAAAAUAAACUAGAGAGAGAGGGUAUACAGUGAAAAUAUUUAACUGUAAAAAAAAAAAAAGAAUUGAAUUUUUUUCACACCUUUUAACAUACCAGUGGCAUAGUAAUAUAGGCCAUACAGUAUUAUGGAAAUUAUUGGUAGAAAACAGAGACAGUUGUCACCAUUUGACUGCUGAAAAGGGAAAAUAUUUAAUAUAAUAAGGAUAGAUCUAGGAUAGUAAACAUAGGAUGGGUUUGGGUUGGAAGGGACCUUAAAGAUCAUCUAGUUUCAACUCCUCUGCCCUGGGCAGGGACACUUUCCACUAGAUGGGGUUGCUCAGAGCUCCAUCCAACCUGGCCUCGAACACUUUGAGGGAAUCAUCUCUUAAUUAUACUAGAGAUAGUGAUAAUUUAUGUAGAAUGGAAUAUUAACUUGUACUACUGGUUAUAAACUUUUCUAGUCAAAAGUAGCCAUAGAAGAUCUGUUCUCAUAUGAAUCUUAACCUAGUAUGGUUUCCAGAAAUAUGAUCAAACUGAAUUUAUUAUGCUGACCCUUUUAAAGAACUGGAGUUGCUUCUUUUGAUGAUCCAAUUAGUGCUAGUGAGAAUAUGGGAAGGGGAAAGGAUAGAAAGUGAGUAUCAAAAAUAAGUAAUCAGACUGUGCAGAGAGAACCCUCUGAUGCCAAAACCAGUAUGACAUUCCCAAAUAUAAUGCAUGUCUAUUGUGUACAAUUUGUUACCUCCUCAUAAUCCUGUGUUCUGAACUGCUGUGAGACUUUGUACAGCAUGGCUUCAGGAUUAAUGGCUUUUUUCAAGAUAUGGUGUACAAGAGGAGAAGACAGUCGACACGAAGGAAACUCAUUGUAUAUCAAGAGCCCAAAACCAUCUACAAGGUUAGCUGGAAUCAAACUCAUGUCCUAAAGAGAAGACCCAGAGAACAAAAACAAUUACUUUAUUUUGGGCUUUUGACUUGUAGAAACAUCACAGUGUUUUCCAUCUGAAAUAUUCAAUAUUCAUUAUACUGCAAGAUUAUCCAAUGAAUUUACUUAUAACAGUAAAAUUUUGUUUCACUGAUCCCUACGUUUGGGAAAGCUACCUCAUUUUAGAAGAUACUUGAUUUAAAGUCACUGAAGUUGUGACUUUUCUGGAAAUACUAACAAGUUUAAUUGUUUUCAUUAUUUUAUCAGUUGAAAUAACAAUAAACACAAAUAACAGCUAUAAUACAGUUCCUGUCAUAAUAAGGCAUGUGCUUUACCAUUUGUCCAAUUAAAAAGUUCUCCUUCUGUAUAUGUUUCUUCGAGGAAGAAUCCACAUCCACAAAAGACCAAAAAUUGGUCUGAACUGAAAUAGUAACUUGUUGGUCAGCUUCUUCUCCGUACUUCUUCCCAGGAAUAAAUACUGUUGUUGUUCUGCUCUCUAGUACUAGGAUAAGAUAAAACUAAUCAGUUACAUGAUCGAUUUAGCUUGACUAUAAAUUGUAGUACCACACACAUUAUCUGAAACCAGUCACGAUUAUGAUUUCACAGAAUUACAGAAUAUGCUGAGUUGGAAUAGACUGACAAGGAUCAUUAAGUCCAACUCCUGUCUCUGCACAGGACCAUCCUCAAGAGUCACACCACAUGCCUGAGAAUAUCAUCCAAAUGCUUUGUGAAUUCUGUCAGGCUUGGUGCUGUGACCACUUCCCUGGGGAGCCUGUUCCAGUGCCCAACCACCUCUGGGUGAAAAGCCUCUUUCUAAUAUCCAACCUAAACCUCCCCUGACACAGCUCAGGCCAUUCCCUUGGGUUCUGUCACUGGUUACCAAAGAGAAGAGAUCAGUGCCUGCCCCACCUCUUCCCCUCACAAGGAAGUUGUAGUCUCCCGCGGUCUCCCCUCAGUCUUUUCCAGGCUGAACAGACCAGUCAGCUCAGCUGCUCCUCAUAUGGCUUCCCCUUAAGGCCCUUCACCAUCUUUGUUGCCCUCAUUUCUCUGAAUUGCCAUGACUAAUGGAUCUUGGUAGUGCAGCAAAUACAAGUUUACAGGACCUUGGCUUUUUUGUCCUUAUUUCUUACACAGACUCAUUAAAAACAGCUUAUGGAUUUUUGAAGCAUUUGAGGCCUGUAAGCUGGGGAUCAAACCCAGCUGUGAAUUUCUGGGUUUGUUUAGUUCUCUCCCCUCGUCUGCUUGGAGGUGGGAGAUUACCAGACUGUAGAAGUUCAAGUUUAUCCUUUUUAUAUGAAGAUAAGUCUCCUAUGUAACAGACACCACCCUUGGCCAGCACAGCGCUGCAGGCUUGAAUACUGGCACUUCCAGUUCCAUGUUUAUCUUUGGACACAGAAGGAAAAAUUUCACUGGAAGGUGGGUGUCGUAUGCCACGAGGCAGAAGGCAUAAACUGUAAUUCAGAAGCCUGCAGGAUUAAAUAAUGCUGUCAGUCAUAAGUUCUUAAAUUAUUGUUCACUUUUAAAAAAACUUAAUACCAUACUUAAUAUAUAUAAAUACCAUUUAUUAAGACUCACUUAGAUACAAUGACAAGAAAAAAAACCCUUAAUAUGGAACCAGUGUCAAAACUAAAUGUUUAACUUCAAAUGCAAAGGUAGAGCUCCAAGCUUUCUCUCCAACAGCUGCCAACAGGAUGGUAUUUCUUAUGGAUUAAACAUGAGGCAAAAUGUGGUUUGCAAUAUAAGUGAUUUCUAGGAAGUCAAAGAAGUCUCGUAAUAACCCCAUAUUGUUAACUCCUCUUUCUAUUCUAGAGAUACUUUUCCAGUGAUUUAAAAGGUAAGAGGAUUAGUAAUCCUGGCCAUCUGGGAAAAAUGAAAAGGCUGGAACUUCUAAGCUCUGCCUUCUUGGUUUACACCCCCACCUCCCCAAUUCUUUUGGAGAAAGAAGGUAUAGAAUAUCUUUUUCAUCCCCUGUACUAUGUUCCUUGGCACAGAGAUGUUGCAAAUUGUCUGUCUGGUUCCACAAUCAAAGGUUUCUAAUGAUUUUAAGAUGUCAGAGCAUGGUUUAUCCUACUGUUAAUACCAGGGAGAAAAUGAUUGAGCAAAACUGGUAAGUAUUAGUAAAUAGAGUAUCACACCAAUAGAUAUAUGAUGUAGGAAAUGGCUACUUUGACAGGCUGCUGAUGGUAAAAUACUGUGCACAUGCAAGACAAUACAGAUUACAAUAUUGAUCAAGAUUUACAGUGUGCAACUCUUAAUAUUAACCAGAUGUUUUGAUUCUUAAAACACUCUGAGCUCCUGCUUCUCCUAUGAAAUCUUACUCUAAACCUGGGGAAAAAAAAAACUUGCAGCCCACAUUUUUAAAAUUUGAACUAAUUUUUCUACAGUUAAAUUUUGAAAUGGUCUAAGUAUUUUUUUCCCACAACAUAAAAUAUUAAUGAAUUUUUUUAAGAAUUUCCAAAUUAAAAUAAGGUUCGUGCCACUUUCAAAAAUCUUUUUCAAAAAUGGAAGUGAAGCCCUAUUUUGAUCUUGGGAAGAAGAAAGCAGUUUUGUUUAAGAUAAUGUAAUUUUAAAGAUGAACAUUUAAAGAUGUACUUUUCAGCAGUUUAUAUAAAAUUGUGUUUACAGUUUAUAGUUGUACUAAGAGGUGAAUACAUAAAAUGGGAAAAUAUAGAAAAAUAUUUAGUUAAAGGCAACAAUAACUGGAUUUAUGGUCGACAUGUAAAGAUGUGCGUGACUUGUGAUACCUUAUCAGUACAGUUAUUAUGAAAAAGAGAGAUAAAAAUGUGAGUAACAAUUUACACACAGCUUAUUAACUGAAAAUGCUGAUGGCUGGGGACCAGUGAUGGAAAGGCUUCAAGUGACACAAGAUUUUAAAAGUUUAAUCCUUUGUUUUUGUCAUUACCAGCUCCUGGGACAGUCUUCAGUUUUAAUUUUAGAAUAAUGUUUUGUUUGAGCUCUGCUGAACAGUGCUAGUGAAUUCUUAUUGCUAUCAUUAUGAGAGUGGUAAGAGGGUUUAUUAUCAGUAAAGUUGUGAUCUACAUUUAUCAUUUGAAAGAAAUAAAAAUGUCUCAGGGAAAAAAAAUUAUUAUUUUUACUAAGUUUGAGCCUGCAUUUUUUUUUAUAUAUAGUCUCUAGCUUUUCAUGUAAGACCGAUCCUAUUGUCUUUAAAAAUACUAAUUUUAAAUUCUAAUUUAUGUUAAAAAUAAGGAAUCUCUUUACCUAUCAAUUACUAGUGUGUCACUUGUCACAAUCAACAGAUCCAGAUAAUCUGCAUUUUCUUUUUCACAUGUCUGUACUAGACUCAGCAAUAUUGCAAGUUUAAGAGUAUUGUAAGUGCCUGGUGGAACAACUUGAGAAGCAAAGAUGUUGGCCAAGACAGCAGUAAACCUCCAGCAUGAACUUGAAGUCAAUGAGAGCAGAUACUUAAAAUUGUCACUGAGAAAAGAAGGACCUAAUGGAAACAAAGUAGAGGUUAACAAACACUUAAGAGAGACUUAUGCAGAUAUAUUAGAACAAAUCACUAAUUAAUUCUAGUCUUGAUACAAAACUUAAUUAAUAUGUUUCUGUAUUAAGCACAAAUUCAGAAUGUAAACAUCUGACAACUGUACUACUAAAAAGUAGUAAAGGUAAAAAGUAAAAAGGUUGAAGGGAAUAACAAACUCAAAUAUCAGGUGCAUUUAACAUGAUUUCAAAGUGCCUUCCAAUGGAUAGGAGAAGUUGGAAAGAGAAGUUGAAAAACUGCAGUAAAUAAUUAGGUAGUUUCCCAAUGCAUGGAAAGCGGGCAAAAGCAGAUAUUAUCAAAUAACAGCAAGUACACAUUUCAGACUGCAAGAGGAAAGUCCCUGAGUGGUUUUGUAAUCUGGACCUCUAGGGAAUAGAAAACUAUACCAAUUCUCAAGAUUUUGUUCCAGAAGGUUUUGCAACUUUUUUCAGUCAAUUUUUAAAGGAACUUUCUUACCAUUUGGUUUACAGAGCUGUAUGCUAUUUACUUCUAUACAUGCAGUAGCUUGUAAGCCAUUUUGUACACAAGCUGGAAUUCCUAUAAUCCUGUAGUGGUUUCCUAUUGUCAUUUUAUUGGCCAGUUCAUCUAGAAAUAAAUAAAAAAGAAAAGGGGGGGGAGGUGGACCUGCAGAUAUGUUAGGGCAUAAAAAUAAUUUUAAAGACAUGGUCAGAAAACUUCUUCACAGUCUGAAUGUUUGAUUUUAUGAUUUAACAGCAGCAGAAAACAACAGCUGGAUGCCAGGUUGACCAUAAUGGACUAGAAUAAAAUGAAGCAUACAAUUCUAAUUAAUUAGUGCAAAAGGUAAGGAAGGGCACACUGGGUGAGGAAAAAUAGUUUCCUGAUAAAGAAAUAGAUGCAUUUAGUUCUGCAUCAAAAAGGAAAUGGACAGUUGUUUGCGAGUAUGUGUUUUUUUACCUGUAAAUUUCUGGCAACACCAUUUCAGUAACUGUUCCAUAGAAUGUCACAGAAAAAACCCCAACACAAUAAAGAGUAGAUACAGAUUACACAGAUUUCAAAAAGACUCACAAACAGCUUUGUGAACCUUAGUAUUUCUGUGCAUAUUUUAAAAAAAAUCAAUUUAUUUUUUUGGAAAUGAGAACUAGGUCCAACCAAAUAUGAAUCAGCCUGUGAGACACUGUCUAGCCUCACUGAUCACUGAAGCCACUGGAAAUUUAAUGCAUGCAACUCAUAGUAUCUUACCCAUAGAUUGUUUUUUAGUAGUAGGUAGGUAGUGGUAAUAGAAGCCAAGAAUCGUGAUGGAAUGUGGAAAACAGCUAGACUGAGGAAGGAUGUUAAAAAGGCAUGAAGUUAGUACAGAACAGCAUUACCAAAGGAAGUGGAAAGGAGGAACAAACAAAUGACAGAAAGCAGCACUGCUGAGCUGGCCAGGAGAUUUUCUUUAAAUGGAGGUACAGAAGUGAACAUGAGAGUUUUGCUUUGUGCACUCUGCAAUCACCUGUGCAUACUGUUUUGUCACCUGCCUAAUUUCAAUAAAAUUAAGGGAGGGGAAUACAUAAAGGCCUGCAAUGUAAAUUUUGAGUUCCACCAUUCUAUCCAGAGAAAUGGAGUUACAGGUAAAAUGCAAGGCAUUAUUACAUUUCGAUUCUAAAACAUUUUUGACAAAUCUCUAAAAUUCAGCUUACCUCUCAAGAAAACUGUAAAUGCCUGAAUCCUAAAAUGUGAUUUAUUGUUGGAAUAUCCUUUCAAAGCAUUCAGAAUUUUAGCAUCAAUCAUUUCAACUAUUUGCUUAUCUUUCAAAACAAAAGCAGAGAAAAAAGUUAGUUCUCUUGAAAACAUUUUUUUUAAUGACUGGUUUAUUCCGGGGCUUUUUCCACUUAACUGUUUUGUUUACUUAUUGUGCAACAGAAAUAGGAAAGUACCAGAUCUGAAAAUAAGAUUACAUAGAUCCUACCACCAAGUACUCUAAAUUUCAUGUCUUCCUGCAGUGGUGAAGAACACAAGCUACACGCAAAAUCAGUCCUAACUGUGGCAGACUCUGUAGCUCCAGGACAAUGCACUCUGAUGUACCUAAACCCUAAAAAAGAAGUAACGAAUUUACCAAACAUUUCGAGGGCAUAGCUUUAGUUCUAAAAUUCUCAUCAAGAACAGAAGCGAUUAAAAUACUGGACAGUAAAAUUCCAAAUUUAUCAUGUGUUUCUUUAGAUGAGCCUCCCUUCGUAUACGCUGCUUCCACUAAAAUGAUGGAUAUAAUUUGUUGUGGCUUGACCACGAGAUGGCAGAAUUUCCUACUGCACAUUCCCCAGCGGAGCGGGUUGGCCAGGCUUUCUGAGGAGCGAGCCACUGGCGGCUUCUGCCUGGCGUGGGAAUGACAUGGGAUACGGAGUUUCUUUAGGGUUACUACUGCACAAAUCUUCAGCAAGAAGAGAUUAAAGAAACACACACUGUAGUGCCGUGGACCCCCUGUUUCCUGGCCCAGAAAAACAGGACACCAAACAACUAGGAAGGAUUAAGCUAUGUCCCAGCUCAGCGUGCACUGAAGAGUCAUCACCUAAGCUUCAAAAAAUAAAGUCUGACUAUUCCCACUACCAGGGUGACCGUGUUCACCAGCGUCCCCACAGCCAGCUAACCCUAUUUGUGACUUGGUGUGGAUACCCAUCAUCUCUCAUCUGGCUUCAGGCUCCCGCCAUCAGCACCCCUUCCUCACAAACACUUCCACCAAAGUAUUCUCCAGGCUUCCUAUGCCCCCUCCUAAGCACUGCUGGAGCGGCAGCAAUGGGCACUGGCCAUGGGCACCGAGGGGACCGGGCCGCCCUCACCACCGCGGGGCUCCGAGCCCUGGCACUGCUCCUUGCGAGGCGCCGCUGUGCCCGCGGGGAGGCGAACGGGGCCGUGUACGAGGCGGCAGCGAGGGCUCCACAGCCGCAGGACCGGGCUCCUGGCGCCGCUCCCUCAGCCCCUCAUGCGGCGGGAACGAGCCCCGAGCCAGCGGCAGCGCGGGCGGGAACGGCGCCACAGCCCGCAGGGCUCAGCGCCGCGGGGCCACGUCCCGAAGGGCAGCGCCUGUGGACACUCCCAAGUCCUCAGGGAAGGGAAACCCAGGCGCGUACGACGCCCACAGAUGCCCGAGCCUCGCUGCCACCAUCGGGACUGGUGACUCUGCCCCAGGGAGCACAUGGCUACUGCCUCCACCCACGGGCCAGGCAGGGCACUGGACAAGGGUCGUGCACUGAGAGCGUGUCAAGUACUAAAAGACAACAUACUUAUAAGGCCAUUUUCUUCCAUUAAUACAUAUUUAACUGCUUGCCUUUAGCAUGCCAGCCACCCAUGAAGUUACCUCCUGAGAGAGCACUUCUGAACUCUGUUUCUGUUGUAUUUCAUUUCACACUUUUACAACCACUGUGCGUUUUCUUCAGUCCAUCUUCCUGUGGUCUCUCUUGCUCCUCCCUCCUUCUAGACCAAAAGACUGGAGGGCACAGUGGCAGCACCAUUCCUCGGCCUCCACAGCACCUCCACAGCAGAAAGGCCUGCUCCUCAUGGGGUGCCUGGGUUCUCUCUGUGGAAGGGGAGGAACAAUCCCCUUUCGCUACAGACCUGCAUUAGUCACAAAAAGGCAAACUUUACUACCUUCCUUUAUUACUUAUAUGCCCAAACAGGAAAGGAGUACCAAAGGUGGUUUCCUGUGCAGAUUUGGUCUCCUCUCUAGGCUUUACCAAGUGCUUCAGAUGUCACAUUUCAGCUCAGCCCUGGGUGAAGUGGCUACGAACACUCCAAACCCAUCUGUCUUACUUUGGAAACCACCCUCAUGUGAUUCAGAAAUGUAGAACAAGAGCAGAAGUACUGUAAGGCUUUAUUGCCUGAUGUUGUACACAGAGCCUGUUAAUCUUCAGAAGUCCUGAUUCAAAGAACUUAAGUAUUGCAAGUGAUGCAUUUAACAUGUUGACACUUCACCAAAAAGGCAAAAUCUACUGAAGGAAAAGCUUAAUAAGCAAUUAUUAAGCUGCUCUCCCAGAAAUAAUUUCAACUACCACUGCCAUAAUAUUUUCUUAAAGGGAAAAAAAAAAAAAGAAGGAAAGAACCCCCAAAUUUG